CCUACGGGAGGCAGCAGUGAGGAAUAUUGGGCAAUGGAGGCAACUCUGACCCAGCCAUGUCGCGUGAGUGAAGAAGGUUCUCGGAUUGUAAAGCUCUUUCGGAUGUGACGAUGUUGACUGUAGCAUCUAACGAAGCCCCGGCUAACUUCGUGCCAGCAGCCGCGGUAAUCCGAAGGGGGCAAGCGUUGUUCGGAAUUACUGGGCGUAAAGGGAGUGUAGGCGGUUUAGUAAGAUAGUGGUGAAAUCCCAGAGCUUAACUUUGGAAGUGCCAUUAUCACUAUUAGACUAGAAUUACAGAGAGGAUAGUGGAAUACCCAGUGUAGAGGUGAAAUUCGUAGAUAUUGGGUAGAACACCAGUGGCGAAGGCGACUAUCUGGCUGUACAUUGACGCUGAGGCUCGAAAGCAUGGGGAUCAAACAGGAUUAGAUACCCCUGUAGUC
rnacentral:rRNA from 1 species